rnacentral:rRNA from 1 species
AUUGAACGCUGGCGGCAUGCCUUACACAUGCAAGUCGAACGGUAACGGGCUUUCGGGUGCCGUGGCGUGGCGGACGGGUGAGUAAUACAUCGUAACGUGCCCGAUCGUGGGGGAUAACGAGGCGACAGCUUUUCUAAUACACCAUACGAUGUACGGUUGGAAGGAGGGGGCGGCAAGGCCUUGCUCGGGCGGCGCGUCCGAUGGCCGGUUAUGUGGUUGGUGGGAUAAAAGCUUACCAAGACGACGUACUGGAGCUGGGCUGAGAGGAUGACCAGCCACCCUGGGAGGGAGGAACGGCCCAGACUCCUACGAGAGGCAGCAGUGGGGAAUUUUGGACAACGGGGGGAAGCCUGAUCCAGCCAUGCCGCGUGCAGGAUGAAGGCCUCCGGGUUGUAAACUGCUGUUGUACGGAACGAAAAGCAUUCUUUUAAUACAGGAGGGUAAUGACGGUACCGGAAGAAUAAGCACCGGCUAACUACGUG